ACUCUCAGUUCGGAUUGUAGGCUGAAACUCGCCUACAUGAAGCUGGAGUUACUAGUAAUCGCAGAUCAGAAUGCUGCGGUGAAUGCGUUCCCGGGUCUUGUACACACCGCCCGUCACACCACGGGAGUUGGAGACGCCCGAAGCCGAUUAUCUAACCUUUUGGAAGAAGUCGUCGAAGGUGGAAUCAAUAACUGGGGUGAAGUCGUAACAAGGUAGCCGUAUCGGAAGGUGCGGCUGGAUCACCUCCUUUCUAAGGA
rnacentral:rRNA from 1 species